rnacentral:rRNA from 1 species
GAGCGGCGGACGGGUGAGUAAUGUCUGGGAAACUGCCUGAUGGAGGGGGAUAACUACUGGAAACGGUAGCUAAUACCGCAUAAUGUCGCAAGACCAAAGUGGGGGACCUUCGGGCCUCAUGCCAUCAGAUGUGCCCAGAUGGGAUUAGCUUGUAGGUGGGGUAACGGCUCACCUAGGCGACGAUCCCUAGCUGGUCUGAGAGGAUGACCAGCCACACUGGAACUGAGACACGGUCCAGACUCCUACGGGAGGCAGCAGUGGGGAAUAUUGCACAAUGGGCGCAAGCCUGAUGCAGCCAUGC